UGCAGUCGAACGAUACUCUUUAGCUUGCUAAGGAGGAAAGUGGCGCACGGGUGCGUAACGCGUAUGCAACCUACCUUAAUCAGGGGGAUAGCCCGAAGAAAUUCGGAUUAACACCGCAUAAAAUCACAGUACAGCAUUGUACAAUGAUCAAAUAUUUAUAGGAUUAAGAUGGGCAUGCGUGACAUUAGUUAGUUGGCGGGGUAACGGCCCACCAAGACCACGAUGUCUAGGGGAUCUGAGAGGAUGACCCCCCACACUGGUACUGAGACACGGACCAGACUCCUACGGGAGGCAGCAGUAAGGAAUAUUGGUCAAUGGAGGCAACUCUGAACCAGCCAUGCCGCGUGCAGGAAGACAGCCCUCUGGGUCGUAAACUGCUUUUAUUCGGGAAUAAACCUACUUACGUGUAAGUAGCUGAAUGUACCGAAGGAAUAAGGAUCGGCUAACUCCGUGCCAGCAGCCGCGGUAAUACGGAGGAUCCAAGCGUUAUCCGGAUUUAUUGGGUUUAAAGGGUGCGUAGGCGGCUUUUUAAGUCAGGGGUGAAAGACGGUGGCUCAACCAUCGCAGUGCCCUUGAUACUGAAGAGCUUGAAUGAAUUAGAGGUAGGCGGAAUGUGACAAGUAGCGGUGAAAUGCAUAGAUAUGUCACAGAACACCGAUUGCGAAGGCAGCUUACUAUGAUUUUAUUGACGCUGAGGCACGAAAGCGUGGGGAUCAAACAGGAUUAGAUACCCUGGUAGUCCACGCCCUAAACGAUGAAUACUCGCUGUUAGCGAUACACAGUUAGCGGCUAAGCGAAAGCGUUAAGUAUUCCACCUGGGGAGUACGGUCGCAAGAUUGAAACUCAAAGGAAUUGACGGGGGCCCGCACAAGCGGAGGAGCAUGUGGUUUAAUUCGAUGAUACGCGAGGAACCUUACCCGGGCUUGAAAGUUAGUGAAUCAUUUAGAGAUAGAUGAGUCCGCAAGGACACGAAACUAGGUGCUGCAUGGCUGUCGUCAGCUCGUGCCGUGAGGUGUUGGGUUAAGUCCCGCAACGAGCGCAACCCCUAUGUUUAGUUGCCAGCACGUUAAGGUGGGGACUCUAAACAGACUGCCUGUGCAAACAGAGAGGAAGGAGGGGACGACGUCAAGUCAUCAUGGCCCUUACGUCCGGGGCUACACACGUGCUACAAUGGAUGGUACAGAGGGCAGCAAGCUGGUAACAGCAAGCAAAUCUCCAAAAGCCAUUCACAGUUCGGAUAGAGGUCUGCAACUCGACCUCUUGAAGUUGGAUUCGCUAGUAAUCGUAUAUCAGCAAUGAUACGGUGAAUACGUUCCCGGGCCUUGUACACACCGCCCGUCAAGCCAUGGAAGUUGGGGGUACCUAAAGUAUGUAACCGCAAGGAGC
rnacentral:rRNA from 1 species